GUGUUAACACAUGCAAGUCGAACGAUGAUCUCCAGCUUGCUGGGGGGAUUAGUGGCGAACGGGUGAGUAACACGUGAGUAACCUGCCCUUGACUCUGGGAUAAGCCUGGGAAACUGGGUCUAAUACCGGAUAUGACCAUUCCGCGCAUGCGGUGGUGGUGGAAAGCUUUUGCGGUUUUGGAUGGACUCGCGGCCUAUCAGCUUGUUGGUGGGGUAAUGGCCUACCAAGGCGACGACGGGUAGCCGGCCUGAGAGGGUGACCGGCCACACUGGGACUGAGACACGGCCCAGACUCCUACGGGAGGCAGCAGUGGGGAAUAUUGCACAAUGGGCGCAAGCCUGAUGCAGCGACGCCGCGUGAGGGAUGACGGCCUUCGGGUUGUAAACCUCUUUCAGUAGGGAAGAAGCCGCAAGGUGACGGUACCUGCAGAAGAAGCGCCGGCUAACUACGUGCCAGCAGCCGCGGUAAUACGUAGGGCGCAAGCGUUAUCCGGAAUUAUUGGGCGUAAAGAGCUCGUAGGCGGUUUGUCGCGUCUGCUGUGAAAGACCGGGGCUCAACUCCGGUUCUGCAGUGGGUACGGGCAGACUAGAGUGAUGUAGGGGAGACUGGAAUUCCUGGUGUAGCGGUGAAAUGCGCAGAUAUCAGGAGGAACACCGAUGGCGAAGGCAGGUCUCUGGGCAUUAACUGACGCUGAGGAGCGAAAGCAUGGGGAGCGAACAGGAUUAGAUACCCUGGUAGUCCAUGCCGUAAACGUUGGGCACUAGGUGUGGGGGACAUUCCACGUUUUCCGCGCCGUAGCUAACGCAUUAAGUGCCCCGCCUGGAGA
rnacentral:rRNA from 1 species